rnacentral:rRNA from 1 species
GAUGAACGCUGGCGGCAUGCCUAAUACAUGCAAGUCGAGCGAACAGACCAGGAUCUUGCUCGUCUGACGUUAGCGGCGGACGGGAGCGUAACACGUGGAUAACAUACCUAUGAGACUGGGAUACCUUCGCCAAACCGGGGCUAAUACCGGAUGAUAUAUUGAACAACGUUGUUCCCUCGUGAGAUUCGGUUUUGCUGUCGCUUAUAGCUCGAUCCGCGCCGAAUUAGCUAGUUGGUAGGGUAGCGGGUUAGCAAGGCAACGAUGCGUAGCCGACCUGAGCGGGAGGUCGGCUAGCCGGUAACUGAGACAGGGCCCAGACACUGACGCUAGGAAGCAGCAGGGAAUCUUACGCAAUGGGGGAGUGCCGGAUGGUGCAACGCCGCGUGAGGGAUGAAGCACCUCGGAUCGUAGAGUGCUGUUAGCAGUGAAGAAGAAAUGUGCAAGUAACCAUGAAGGUAUUGACGGUACCUAAUGAGUAAGCCCCGGCUAACUACGUG